rnacentral:tRNA from 1 species
GCGGGCGUAGUUCAUUGGUAGAACGCGACCUUGCCAAGGUCGAGGGGUGGGUUCGAUUCCCAUCGCCCGCUCCA